rnacentral:rRNA from 1 species
UACGAGUGCCCCAAGCGUUAUCCGGAAUCAUUGGGCGUAAAGGGUGUGUAGGUGGUUGUGUUAGUCUUCUGUCAAAUUCUUCGGCUUAACCGGGGUCCUGCAGGGGAAACGGCACAACUUUGAGGAUGCGAGGGGUGAAUGGAACUCAUGGAGUAGGGGUGAAAUCCGUUGAUAUCAUGGGGAACACCAAAAGCGAAGGCAAUUCACUGGCGCACUUCCUGACACUGAAACACGAAAGCGUGGGUAGCGAACGGG